GUACUUUGUUUAUUUCACUAAUAUGUAAGUUUUACUUCACUUUACUUGUAUCUUUUACUUAUUUCCUAUGAGACUAUAAUCUGGAAAGCACAGCUUCAUAUUUUACACUAUGCCUUACACAAAGUAGGUAUUCAAUAAAUUCAUGUCAUAAAUAAAUGAAUGAGACAAUAAUUAUUUUUAAAAUUACAUUAAACUUAUAGUAAUUUAAAAAAAAUUAUUUUCAAAAUUGUCAGAUCACAAAAAUAUCUAGCCAAAAUAUGUAUUUGUCCUUUCCCAUAUUCCAGCAUCUUAUUCUUUCUUUCCUGGAAAAAGGGGGAGGUUGGGACACUAGGUUAAAAGAACACAGUUUUUCAGAUCUAUACCUAUAUCUAUCUGCAGAAACAUACACGCACACACUAUUUCUCUUAUAAAUCUUGCCUCUGAAAAUAAUACCAAACAAACAUCCAUAUGAAAUAAUCACCCAGAUGUUUAAGUAUUAUCACUUGCUGCUAUACUGACAAAUAUCUGGCUAGCUGACUAUUUUGAUUUUCAUCCAGAUGUUUAGGCUUCACAGGUACAUUUGUAGAUUCUUAUGAAUCUAAAACAGACAAGAAGAGAGAAGAGAAAUAAAUGCAUCCAAUUUUCUUUCAACUUACUCCCUUUAGGAGUAAGGGAUGUGGGCCAGUGCUUAUUUCCAUGGAUGGCUUACAGUGUUCAUCCCCAUCAAAUGAAUUAUGAAAAGGAUUUCAAGACAUUACUAUUCCAGAAAAGGAGAGAAAAGAAGCUUUUAUAUUCACCUCAGAACCUGCCGCAGCACAAUUCACAAGGUUGUUGUUGGGAUUUGCCAUCCAGAAGGUAGAUACAGCACUGUCAACAUGAAAGAAGAGAUUCAAUUUGUAUAUUGGAAUGACUGAUAUCUAAAAGCAUUAGUGAACAUUUCUAUAAGACUUUACAAUUAGUUUGAAGAGCCUCUUACAGAAAUAAAAACAUGUGAAAAAGCAUCACA